ACCGUACUCCUACGGGAGGCAGCAGCAAGGAAUCUUCCGCAAUGGGCGAAAGGCUGACGGAGCAACGCCGCGUGUGGGAUGACGCCUUUCGGGGUGUAAACCACUUUUCUCAGGGAAGAAGCACUGACGGUACCUGAGGAAGAAGGACCGGCUAACUACGUGCCAGCAGCCGCGGUAAUACGUAGGGUCCGAGCGUUGUCCGGAGUUACUGGGCGUAAAGCGCGCGCAGGCGGCGGUGUAAGCAUGGCGUGAAAGCCCCUGGCUUAACCAGGGAGGGUCGUCGUGGACUGCACCGCUUGAGGGCGGUAGGGGCUGGUGGAAUGCCUGGUGUAGUGGUGAAAUGCGUAGAGAUCAGGCGGAACACCCGUGGCGAAGGCGGUCAGCUGGGCCGUCCCUGACGCUGAGGCGCGAAGGCGUGGGGAGCGAACGGGAUUAGAUACCCCAGUAGUCCUUGAC
rnacentral:rRNA from 1 species